rnacentral:rRNA from 2 species
CAUGCAAGUCGAACGGUAACAGGAAGCAGCUUGCUGCUUUGCUGACGAGUGGCGGACGGGUGAGUAAUGUCUGGGAAACUGCCUGAUGGAGGGGGAUAACUACUGGAAACGGUAGCUAAUACCGCAUAACGUCGCAAGACCAAAGAGGGGGACCUUCGGGCCUCUUGCCAUCGGAUGUGCCCAGAUGGGAUUAGCUAGUAGGUGGGGUAACGGCUCACCUAGGCGACGAUCCCUAGCUGGUCUGAGAGGAUGACCAGCCACACUGGAACUGAGACACGGUCCAGACUCCUACGGGAGGCAGCAGUGGGGAAUAUUGCACAAUGGGCGCAAGCCUGAUGCAGCCAUGCCGCGUGUAUGAAGAAGGCCUUCGGGUUGUAAAGUACUUUCAGCGGGGAGGAAGGCGAUAAGGUUAAUAACCUUGUCGAUUGACGUUACCCGCAGAAGAAGCACCGGCUAACUCCGUGCCAGCAGCCGCGGUAAUACGGAGGGUGCAAGCGUUAAUCGGAAUUACUGGGCGUAAAGCGCACGCAGGCGGUCUGUCAAGUCGGAUGUGAAAUCCCCGGGCUCAACCUGGGAACUGCAUUCGAAACUGGCAGGCUA